GAUGAACGCUAGCGGCAGGCCUAACACAUGCAAGUCGAGGGGUAACUAGAGUGAUAGCAAUAUUACUUUGGCUAGACCGGCGCACGGGUGCGUAACACGUAUGCAACCUACCUUAUACUGGGGAAUAACUUCGAGAAAUCGGCGCUAAUACCCCAUAACAUUGCGAAGAGGCAUCUCUUUGCAAUUAAAGCUCCGGCGGUAUAAGAUGGGCAUGCGUCCAAUUAGCUAGUUGGUGAGGUAACGGCUCACCAAGGCUACGAUUGGUAGGGGUUCUGAGAGGAAGAUCCCCCGCACUGGUACUGAGACACGGACCAGACUCCUACGGGAGGCAGCAGUGAGGAAUAUUGCGCAAUGGACGAAAGUCUGACGCAGCCAUUCCGCGUGCAGGAUUACGGCCCUAUGGGUUGUAAACUGCUUUUGUACGGGAAUAAACCCUUCUACGUGUAGGAGGCUGAAGGUACCGUAAGAAUAAGCACCGGCUAACUCCGUGCCAGCCGCCGCCGUAA
rnacentral:rRNA from 1 species